rnacentral:rRNA from 1 species
CACGUAGGGGGCAAGCGUUGUCCGGAUUUAUUGGGCGUAAAGAGCUCGUAGGCGGCUCAGUAAGUCAGGUGUGAAACCUCCAGGCUCAACCUGGAGACGCCACCUGAUACUGCUGUGGCUAGGAGUCCGGUAGGGAGCGUGGAAUUCCUGGUGUAGCGGUGAAAUGCGUAGAUAUCAGGAGGAACACCGGUGGUGUAGACGGCUAUCUGGGACC